GAAUAUUGGUCAAUGGACGAAAGUCUGAACCAGCCAUGCCGCGUGCAGGAAGACGGCCCUACGGGUUGUAAACUGCUUUUAUACGGGAAUAAACCCUCGAACGUGUUCGAGGCUGAAGGUACCGUACGAAGAAGCACCGGCUAACUCCGUGCCAGCAGCCGCGGUAAUACGGAGGGUGCAAGCGUUAUCCGGAUUUAUUGGGUUUAAAGGGUGCGUAGGCGGAAUAUUAAGUCAGUGGUGAAAUCUCUCGGCUCAACCGAGAAACUGCCAUUGAUACUGAUAUUCUUGAAUUUAGUUGAAGUAGGCGGAAUGAGGCAUGUAGCGGUGAAAUGCAUAGAUAUGCCUCAGAACACCGAUCGCGAAGGCAGCUUACUAAACUAACAUUGACGCUGAGGCACGAAAGCGUGGGGAGCAAACAGG
rnacentral:rRNA from 1 species